rnacentral:lncRNA from 1 species
CAGUGAACACCAUAUCCUCGCCGCCGUCGUUAUGUCUUGGAGACAUUUUUUUCGAUAGAGGGCGACUUUAUUAUCUCAAAAUGUAGCAUCAAGCGGAUACAAAGCAUUAUGAGUAACACCCGGCCUCUGCGUAACUAAGAUGCACACAGCCAAAUCCAAAAGUCUGACAAAAAUUCAUGAAAUAAAAAUCGACAAAUCGGCAACAGUAGAGUCCUUUAGACCGACACUAUGCCUAUGUCGAAGAGGUGGUGGAUCGAUCCGUAGGUUAUGCUACCAUCCAUGUUGGGAAAAAAAACCUCCGUAGCCACCUGCUCCAAUCGCGUACACACCACCAUGAACAGCAGUUGGUACUCCGGCCGUUGUAGCAAAAAUUAAGGCCGCCCUACAAGUGCAUCUUGUGGAGGGUAUAUCGCUGCUUCCAGCACUUACACCAUACUUGAGCCUGUGUACCAAUUAUAGCUUCAGAUUUUCUCUUGAUAAAUGUGUAAAAUGAGUAUGUAUCUUAGGUGUUUAAUCUUUGAAUCAUCACCGAGCCUUGCCCAAAAUUUUAGCUCCAGUUUUUAUAUCUAGUUGGACGUAAGGGUAUCUACUUUGUAAUGAAGUGAAUGAAGUCGGCAGCAGCACACACACACUUGCAAAAAUUUGAUUCACUUGCUUGAGAUUUGCACUCCUAUGGUCAAACUAGCAAAAUGAAAGAUACACCAAUUUAACAAAUAUCGACAACUUUAUGUCUUGCUAUCAAAUUAAUGUAUGUAGAUUUAAGAUAAUCAAUUUUAUGAUACUAAUCAUUAUUGACUAAUUGUCAAAAGUUUCACAAUCUAAAAACACCCACUAUUAUUCUGUAAACCCUACAAUUGUGAAUGUUUGCACUAAGAAAAAGAAGGCACAUGUUCUCCCACUUUUGUGAACUUCCGAAGAUUCUAAAAUAUUGUGAAUGUGCAAGUAAACUAUAUGUAACUUCCUGGUAGUAGAUAGAAUAUACACUAUUAUAUGCUACCUAUUUAAUUUUACACAUAUGCAACUCAAUAUUGCUAUGACAUAUUACUUGCAAAUUCUUGAAACAAUGAUGAGAAUUUUUUUCAUUGUAUACAACAGAUUCUAACAUUCAGAGGACACAAGUUGGUAUUUUUGGAAUGAUUUGUUUUUUUGCUUUUGCUUAGGACUGCGAUGUUUGGCAUCCCUUAGUUCAAAUUACCAAAUAACAGUUUCAUGUUCAUCCAUGAUAAUAUGUUAGUUCACAUUACCAUCAUAAUCUCCGAACCUAACCAAAUGUCUGCUAUGAUUUUGGCAUCUAUAAUGAUUGGCACAUCUUAGUUCACAUCACUGUGAUCGUUAAAUAACCAAGGAAAAAGGAAAUACUUUUUAUUAAAAAGGAAAUACUUUUAAUGAAAUCUGGCAUACCAUGGGGUCAAGGAGCCAGCUAAGGCGAAGGAGAGCGACCGAGGAAGGAUGGUGAAGCUAGCAGCUCAGCCGACAGGGAGAAGCCGUGGCGGAGAAGGUGUGGUCUUGCUAGGGAGAUAGGUCGAGUGUUCGCCACUCAUGCUGCUGCACUACCGAUGCCCAACUUUGGCGGAAGUUCCUCCCAAAAUCCCAAUGGCCUCCACCUUUACCGAUCUUCUCCAAAAGCAACAUGUCAUGCCAGUCGCCAGUCCUCCCAUGGUGGCCGAUGGUAGAUGGUCCCACCUUUGGGGGCUUUCUCCUGCGUCAUCUUCACCUGCGCAAAGAAGCAAGGACUGGGACAUGUAAAUUGGAGAGAGGAGAGGCAGACAGAACCAGAAGAAAUUGAGGGAGGGGACACAGAGGAGAGGGCACCUCUUGUUGCGGCACCGCUCCACUGCGGAUAGGGAAAGAGAUGCUAGAUGAGAAAGAAAAUGGCCGAGGCUUCAUGAAGGAUCGUCAUAAG